GUGCCAGCCGCCGCGGUAAUACGGAGGGUGCAAGCGUUAAUCGGAAUUACUGGGCGUAAAGCGUACGUAGGCGGCCUGUUAAGCAAGAUGUGAAAGCCCCAGGCUCAACCUGGGAAUGGCAUUUUGAACUGGCAGGCUCGAGUUCUGAAGAGGGUGGUAGAAUUUCCAGUGUAGCGGUGAAAUGCGUAGAUAUUGGAAGGAAUACCAGUGGCGAAGGCGGCCACCUGGUCAGAAACUGACGCUGAGGUACGAAAGCGGGGGGAGCAAACAGGAUUAGAAACCCCGGUAGUCC
rnacentral:rRNA from 1 species